rnacentral:rRNA from 1 species
CGACGUGAGUAACCUGCCCUGGAGUGGGGAAUAACAGCUGGAAACAGCUGCUAAUACCGCAUAAUGCAGUUGGGCCGCAUGGCUCUGACUGCCAAAGAUUUAUCGCUCUGGGAUGGACUCGCGUCUGAUUAGCUAGUUGGUGGGGCAACGGCCCACCAAGGCGACGAUCAGUAGCCGGACUGAGAGGUUGGCCGGCCACAUUGGGACUGAGACACGGCCCAGACUCCUACGGGAGGCAGCAG